rnacentral:ncRNA from 12 species
GACGGGCGAGGUCGGAAAGGCUCCCGACGCUCCCGCGAGGGAAUCUGAGAUGCAGGAUACGCCUCCCUGCCGUUGCU